GCGAAAGGUGGCGGAAUUGGUAGACGCGCUAGCUUCAGGUGUUAGUGUUCUUACGGACGUGGGGGUUCAAGUCCCCCCCCUCGCACCA
rnacentral:tRNA from 1 species